rnacentral:rRNA from 1 species
AUUGAACGCUGGCGGCAGGCUUAACACAUGCAAGUCGAGCGGGGAAUGGUAGCUUGCUACCUGACCUAGCGGCGGACGGGUGAGUAAUGCUUAGGAAUCUGCCUAUUAGUGGGGGACAACAUUCCGAAAGGAAUGCUAAUACCGCAUACGCCCUACGGGGGAAAGCAGGGGAUCUUCGGACCUUGCGCUAAUAGAUGAGCCUAAGUCAGAUUAGCUAGUUGGUGGGGUAAAGGCCUACCAAGGCGACGAUCUGUAGCGGGUCUGAGAGGAUGAUCCGCCACACUGGGACUGAGACACGGCCCAGACUCCUACGGGAGGCAGCAGUGGGGAAUAUUGGACAAUGGGCGCAAGCCUGAUCUAGCCAUGCCGCGUGUGUGAAGAAGGCCUUUUGGUUGUAAAGCACUUUAAGCGAGGAGGAGGCUACUUGGAUUAAUACUCUAGGAUAGUGGACGUUACUCGCAGAAUAAGCACCGGCUAACUCUGUGCCAGCCGCCGCCGUAA